rfam:Triticum urartu cultivar G1812 contig998843, whole genome shotgun sequence.
AACAUACUCCCUUCAUUCGGAAUUAUUUGUCGCAGAAAUGGAUGUAUCUAGAUGUAUUUUAAUUCUAGAUACAUCCACAUCCAAGACAAGUAAUUCCGAACGGAGGGAGUAGUUU